UACAGGGGGUGCAAACGUUGCUCGGAAUCAUUGGGCGUAAGCGCACGUAGGCGGUUCGUUAUGUCGGAUGUGAAAGCCCUUGGCUUAACCGAGGAAGUGCAUCCGAAACUGGCGAGCUAGAGUACUAAAGAGGAUCGCGGAAUUCCCGGUGUAGAGGUGAAAUUCGUAGAUAUCGGGAGGAGCACCGGUGGCGAAGGCGGCGAUCUGGGUAGAUACUGACGCUGAGGUGCGAAAGCGUGGGGAGCAAACAGG
rnacentral:rRNA from 1 species